CACCCACCCUCCCCUCCCCCACACCCCCGCCCCCUGCCCUUCCCGAGGGCAGCAGCCGCGGCCCGGAGAUAAGCACUAGCGCGGCGCGGGGCUCUGCCUGGGCUAGUGGCACCGACUUGGGAAAAGAAAACGACGAGACAGAAAACCCAUGCUUUUCCCACAGGAAGAUCAGUGGAUCAGUCCGGCUAAAGAAACCGAGAAGCCCAGCUGCCAACGAUGGUCUACACAUUUGAAAUACAGCAACUUCCCUCUUGCCAAGGAAAGGCAAGACGAUAGGAGAAACUGCAAGGCGUCGAGGCACGUUUUCUGCGCGCAGAGCUGAGGCUGACCACAACGGCUGAACUCCCAGGCUCCGCAAGCGCCGCGAACAGUCUACAAGGAGAGCGGACCACUACCGCCGCGCCCGUGGCCUCUACUGGCUUUGGCCCUGCUGUUCCGUGGGGCGGUUUGGUUCCUCUGAGGCAUGCCCGAAGGAACACACACCCUUCUGAGCCCCCACCCGCCCCCGCCCCCGCCCCCGCCCCCCACGAACACACAUCUUUGGUUUCUUCAACCGCCCCUUCUGCAUGAAGCCGGUCUGGGGCAGAGCUUUGUCGCCGAAGCCCUCGCUGGCGGGGCGUGCAGCUGAAGGAACUCUUCCGAAGUUAUAUAUUGACCAGCACCUCUUUCAAUACUGACCAGCUGCAAGGGGUGGCAGCUGCCAGGGAAAGUAAACUCCUUCACCGGUGCGAGGGCCGGCAGUGCGAGGGACGGCGCGGUGAAGAGUUGGGACGCAGCGCUUACCUCGAAAGAUGGCCAAGGCUGAAGCCGAGAGUAUGUCCAGCUCCGGGUGCUCAGGGACUCCCCGUUUCCGGCAUGCGGCGGCUCUGCGGACAAACAAACAGCAGAGGGUGAACGGCGGCCGCGGAAGAAAGGAGUUGGAGGAGCAGAGUUGGCGGCGCCGGCGGUGCGGGUGCCCGGGUGGCCCCCGGGGUGACGCGGACACGGAAGAGUCGCCAGGACACUCGUCCAUGUGGCGUACUCAUUGCUCGAAAGGUUCCGGUCUACAAAUGGCCUGAAGGUGGUGAUUUAUUUUUGUAAAAUAAAUACAUACUCCA